rnacentral:tmRNA from 1 species
GGGGCUGACGUGGAUUUGACAGCUUGGUAAAGUGAUAUGUAAGCAUGUCGAGCGUCGUGAUGCUGGCUCGUAAAACCCGGAUCUCAAACUUUUAAUUGGCGAAAAUAAUUUUGCUCUUGCAGCUUAAUCGAAGUAUAGUAGAUUAGCUAUAUUCCUGCUCUAGGAGCGGGAACAAGACAUCUCUCGGGUGCUAACGUUCUGAGGCGGCCCGAAUCAGAGAUGCUGGUAAAUUAGAACUAGGAAAUAACCCGCCUUGUGCUAUUUCCGAAAUUUAAGAGGAUAAGGUAAUAGUCGGUGGCUUUGAUCCAGCUGUUACUCGAAAAUUAAGUCAAAGCUAAACAUGUAGAAAGCAUUGAGCUUCCUUGUCUGGACCAGGGUUCGAUUCCCUGCAGCUCCACCU